GAAGAAGUUAGCUGAAUUGGGCAAGAGUUUAAGGGAAGAUUGACUAUCAAGAGAAAGAACAAUGCUGAUAAAUUUUUUGUUGCCCACUGGCAUGUUGGAUUUCAGGUCUCUUCUCAUAAUCUAAACUAGAAGACAUAUCAUCCCAAAGUAUGGCAAACCAGCCCUGCAAUGCUCUCCUCCAAUUUGUGACAGGGGAGCUCUCUUAAUUUCUCCCUUCCUGUUUGGAUAUAAUGAAUCUGUUAGGAGGUGACUCUUAACAACCUUGGAGGUGACUCUUGCAUUGGACAAGGAAUCUGUUAGGAGGACAGGAGAUGACACAGGGACCUGCAGUUUCUUGCAGUGGCGGAUCCAGGAAUUGAAACCGGGUGGGACUUGACUUUCCACCAUUAAAAAAAAAAAAACUACGCUGUGAUAGGAGGAAUAUUAUAGAUGAAAAAAAAAUUGACACACCUAGACAGAAGGGGACGAAAUGAGCCUUAUCUCUCGAAAACAAGUUUAUACUCAAUUAACUAAAUCUAACCCUACGAGUACCUGAAAAUUGUUUAUCGUAAAGUCAUUACUAAUAGAAUCAGCAUAUUCCUUCUUAACGUGGAGGACCAUGUAAUCAGAUAAAACUCGCUGAUACAGGUUUUGCAUGACAAACUGCUUGGGUAGUGGAGGAGAAGACGACAAGAAGAAAGAUAAAAGUACGUUUUGAAGACUAUUCUCUCUUUUUGUUGGAAAAAAAGGACAUAAAAGUUGGUCACUUAGGCUUGGACGUCAGCCCAAGAAUUAUACAUUUACUAAUAGCCCAAGAUUUACUUGAGACUUUUGGGUCAGUUGGGUGGGACUCAGCUCAAAAGAUUACAAUGACAUUAUAAACUACAUGUAAGAUUUUUUUUUCCCUCCAAAAGUUUGGGUGGGACUUGAGUCCCAGUCCCAUAUGCUGUAGAUCCGCCCCUGGUUUCUUGGGAAUUGCAGAUGAUUAAAUCCUUGUCCAAAUUGGAGUACGUAUCAUUCUUAAUUGAAGUUUUCUUCUUUGCAUGGCAAAAGCUGGACUUAGGGCAUUUU
rnacentral:lncRNA from 1 species